AUUGAACGCUGGCGGAAUGCUUUACACAUGCAAGUCGAACGGCAGCACGGGAGCUUGCUCCUGGUGGCGAGUGGCGAACGGGUGAGUAAUACAUCGGAAGGUACCCAGUUAUGGGGGAUAACUAACCGAAAGGUUAGCUAAUACCGCAUACGCCCUGAGGGGGAAAGCGGGGGACCGUAAGGCCUCGCGUAAUUGGAGCG
rnacentral:rRNA from 1 species